CGCUUUGGCUUCGGCCAAGGAGUGGCGCACGGGUGAGUAGCGCGUGGGAACCUGCCCUCUUGUGGGGGAUAACCGCGGGAAACUGCGGCUAAUACCGCAUAAGCCCCCGGACUUGCUCCGGGGGGAAAGAUUUAUCGCGAGAGGAGGGGCCCGCGUCGGAUUAGCUUGUUGGUGGGGUAACGGCCUACCAAGGCGAUGAUCCGUAGCUGGUCUGAGAGGAUGAUCAGCCACACUGGGACUGAGACACGGCCCAGACUCCUACGGGAGGCAGCAGUGGGGAAUAUUGGACAAUGGGCGCAAGCCUGAUCCAGCAAUGCCGCGUGAGUGAGGAAGGCCUUAGGGUUGUAAAGCUCUUUCACCCGCGACGAUGAUGACGGUAGCGGGAGAAGAAGCCCCGGCUAACUUCGUGCCAGCAGCCGCGGUAAUACGAAGGGGGCGAGCGUUGUUCGGAUUUACUGGGCGUAAAGGGCGCGCAGGCGGCGGACCAAGUCAGGCGUGAAAGCCCCGGGCUCAACCUGGGAAUGGCGCCUGGGACUGGUGUGCUAGAGUUCGGGAGAGGAGCGUGGAAUUCCCAGUGUAGAGGUGAAAUUCGUAGAUAUUGGGAAGAACACCGGUGGCGAAGGCGGCGCUCUGGACCGAGACUGACGCUGAGGCGCGAAAGCGUGGGGAGCA
rnacentral:rRNA from 1 species